UACGUAGGGUGCGAGCGUUAAUCGGAAUUACUGGGCGUAAAGCGUGCGCAGGCGGUUUUGUAAGACAGGCGUGAAAUCCCCGGGCUUAACCUGGGAACUGCAUUUGUGACUGCAUGGCUAGAGUACGGUAGAGGGGGGAUGGAAUUCCGCGUGUAGCAGUGAAAUGCGUAGAUAUGCGGAGGAACACCGAUGGCGAAGGCGACUACCUGGCCUGUUCUUGACGCUGAGGCGCGAAAGCUAGGGAGCAAACGGG
rnacentral:rRNA from 1 species